rnacentral:rRNA from 1 species
AUUGAACGCUGGCGGCAGGCCUAACACAUGCAAGUCGAGCGGAGCGGCGGACGGGUGCGUAAUGCCUAGGAAUCUGCCUGGUCGUGGGGGAUAACGUUCGGAAACGGGCGCUAAUACCGCAUACUAUCAGAUGAGCCUAGGUGGGAUUAGCUAGUUGGUGGGGUAACGGCCUAGCAAGGCGACGACCCGUAGCCGGUCGGAGAGGAUGAUCAGUCACACGGGAACUGAGAAACGGUCCAGACCCCGAGGGGAGGUAGGAGGGGGGAAUAUUGAACAAGGGGCGCAAGCUGGAUGCAGCAAUGCCGCGGGUAUGAAGAAGGUCUUCGGUUUGUAAAGUACUUUAAGCGGGGAGGCGUUACCCGAAGAAGAAGCACCGGCUAACUCCGUGCCAGCAGCCGCGGUAAUAC